GACGAACCGUGCGAACGUUAUUCGGAUUCACUGGGCUUAAAGCGCGUGUAGGCGGGCGGCCACGUCUGCGGCUGAAAGGCCCCGGCUCAACCGGGGCUCGGGCCCGGAUACGGGUCGCCUGGAGGGGCGUAGGGGGAGCUGGAACUCACGGUGGAGCGGUGAAAUGCGUUGAGAUCGUGAGGAGCGCCCGCGGCGAAAGCGAGCUCCUGGACGUCUGCUGACGCUGAGACGCGAAAGCCAGGGGAGCGAACGGG
rnacentral:rRNA from 1 species